AAAGCCAAAAUCAGCCAUCUUCUUCCCCAUAGCUGCCGAAAUUCCUAGAGCUCCAUAAGCUAGGGUUUUCAACAUUUCAAGCUCAAUAAGUCCGCGGACUCGUGAAGAUUGGAAAAGGAUUGGAGUAUUGUCAACACUAUCAGCUUAUCUUACUUUGGUAUAUAGAUACCUUUACUUUAUUACAAUGGCAUGUAUAGGUUUUUGGUUAUUUUGUUAUAUGUGUCAUUGAUUAACCAAUGUAAGGGCUUAAAUGAUAUACCUAUUCAUUUUGUAUAUGGCCAUAAAACAUGGCUCAUUUUGAUGUAGGUUGUAACCUACUAAUUGUGCAUGUUGGUGUUUAAAUGUUCAUGAGAUGGUUAAAUGUGGUAUAUCAUGAAUGGACAUAUGGAAUAUAGUUAAA